rnacentral:snoRNA from 1 species
UUGUGAUGAUUUUUCAGAUGACGAGUCUGAAACGGUCGGCUCGAGGUUUCCUCCUGUUGGCCUUCUUUGACGAUACCGUACAAUUUAUACCAUUCAUGCAUUUCUGACC